rfam:Ciona intestinalis ciona0030, whole genome shotgun sequence.
AGCAAAUGAUGUUUCACGAUGGUCUUCAUAGCAUGUGUGCUUUGAUGAUAACAUAAACCACAACUGAUGCUUUAUU